rnacentral:SRP_RNA from 1 species
GCCAGGUACAGUGGCAGGUGCCUGCAGUCCCAGCUACUCAGGCGGCUGAGGUGAGAGGAUCGCUUGAGCCCAAGAGUUCUGGGCUGUAGUGCGCUAUGCUGAUCAGGUAUCCACACUAAGUUCGGCAUCAAAAUGGUAACCUCCCGGGAGCAGGGGACCACCAGGUUGCCUAAGGAGGGGUGAAACCACCCAGGAUGGAAACAGAGCAGGUCAAAACUCCCAUGCUGAUCAGUAGUGGGAUCAUGCUUGUGAACAGUCACUGCACUCCAGCCUGGGCAACAUAGCGAGACCCCGUCUCU